rnacentral:rRNA from 1 species
AUUGAACGCUGGCGGCAGGCCUAAAACAUGCAAGUUGAUCGGUGCGGCGUACGGGUGAGUAAUGCCUAGGAAUCUGCCUGGUAGUGGUGGAUAACGUCCGGAAACUGGCGCUACUCCCGAAUACUAUCAGAUGAUCCUAGGUCGGAUUUGCUGGUUGGUGGGGUAAAGGCCUACCAAGGCGACGAUCCGUAACUGGUCUGAGAGGAUGAUCAGUCACACUGGAACUGAGACACGGUCCAGACGCCUACGGGAGGCAGCAGUGGGGAAUAUUGGACAAUGGGCGAAAGCCUGAUCCAGCCAUGCCGCGUGUGUGAAGAAGGUCUUCGGAUUGUAAAGCACUUUAAGUUGGGAGGCGUUACCAACAGAAUAAGCACCGGCUAACUCAGUGCCAGCAGCCGCGGUAAUAC